rnacentral:lncRNA from 1 species
CUGAUAAUUAUUUGUAGAAUGCAAUAUGGUGUCAUAGGAUACAAUAGGAUGUCAUAAUAUUAUGAAUAAAUUACAAAAACCCCCUAAGAUUUGUCUUAAUUAUACUUUCAUCCAAUAGUUUAAAAAAUCUAUAUUUACAUCUUUUAGAUAUAAUGACGUUGCUUAAAAAAUUAUAAUAUUAUAAAAUGACUCAAUUAUUCUCGUGACUUAAUAAAGG